CCGGCACGGGUGAGUAACACGUAUCCAACCUGCCGUCUACUCUUGGCCAGCCUUCUGAAAGGAAGAUUAAUCCAGGAUGGCAUCAUGAGUUCACAUGUCCGCAUGAUUAAAGGUAUUUUCCGGUAGACGAUGGGGAUGCGUUCCAUUAGAUAGUAGGCGGGGUAACGGCCCACCUAGUCAACGAUGGAUAGGGGUUCUGAGAGGAAGGUCCCCCACAUUGGUACUGAGACACGGACCAA
rnacentral:rRNA from 1 species